rnacentral:rRNA from 1 species
GACGAACGCUGGCGGCGUGCUUAACACAUGCAAGUCGAACGGAAAGGCCCUGCUUUUGUGGGGUGCUCGAGUGGCGAACGGGUGAGUAACACGUGAGUAACCUGCCCUUGACUUUGGGAUAACUUCAGGAAACUGGGGCUAAUACCGGAUAGGAGCUCCUGCUGCAUGGUGGGGGUUGGAAAGUUUCGGCGGUUGGGGAUGGACUCGCGGCUUAGCAGCUUGUUGGUGGGGUAGUGGCUUACCAAGGCUUUGACGGGUAGCCGGCCUGGGAGGGUGAGCGGCCACAGUGGGACUGAGACACGGCCCCGACUCCGACGGGAGGCAGCAGCAGGGGAGAGGGCACAAGGGGUGGGAGCCUGAUGCUGCAACGCCGUGGGCGGGAGGACGGUCUUCGGGUUGGAAUCCGAUUUCGCUCAUGACCAAGCUGUUUGUGACGGUAGUGGGUAAAGAAGCACCGGCUAACUACGUG